GAGUUUGAUCCUGGCUCAGAUUGAACGCUGGCGGCAUGCCUAACACAUGCAAGUCGAACGGAAACGAUGGGAGCUUGCUCCCAGGCGUCGAGUGGCGGACGGGUGCGUAACGCGUAGGAAUCUACCCAGUAGUUGGGGACAACACGGAGAAAUCCGUGCUAAUACCGAAUACGGUCUACGGACUAAAGGGGGCCUCUUCUUGAAAGCUCUCGCUAUUGGAUGAGCCUGCGUCAGAUUAGCUUGUUGGUGGGGUAAUGGCCUACCAAGGCGACGAUCUGUAGCUGGUCUGAGAGGAUGAUCAGCCACACUGGGACUGAGACACGGCCCAGACUCCUACGGGAGGCAGCAGUGGGGAAUAUUGGACAAUGGGGGAAACCCUGAUCCAGCAAUGCCGCGUGUGUGAAGAAGGCCUGAGGGUUGUAAAGCACUUUCAGUAAGGAGGAAAUCAUCAAGGUUAAUAUCCUUGUAAAUGACGUUACUUACAGAAGAAGCACCGGCUAACUCCGUGCCAGCAGCCGCGGUAAUACGGAGGGUGCGAGCGUUAAUCGGAAUUACUGGGCGUAAAGCGCGCGUAGGCGGCUUGAUAAGUCAGAUGUGAAAGCCCCGGGCUUAACCUGGGAACUGCAUUUGAAACUGUUAAGCUAGAGUGUGGUAGAGGUAAGUGGAAUUCCAGGUGUAGCGGUGAAAUGCGUAGAGAUCUGGAGGAACAUCAGUGGCGAAGGCGGCUUACUGGACCAACACUGACGCUGAGGUGCGAAAGCGUGGGUAGCAAACAGGAUUAGAUACCCUGGUAGUCCACGCCGUAAACGAUGUCAACUAGCCGUUGGGUUCAUUUAAGAAUUUAGUGGCGCAGCUAACGCAAUAAGUUGACCGCCUGGGGAGUACGGCCGCAAGGUUAAAACUCAAGGAAUUGACGG
rnacentral:rRNA from 1 species